AUUGAACGCUGGCGGCAGGCCUAACACAUGCAAGUCGAACGGCAGCACAGAAGAGCUUGCUCUUUGGGUGGCGAGUGGCGGACGGGUGAGUAAUGUCUGGGAAACUGCCCGACGGAGGGGGAUAACUACUGGAAACGGUAGCUAAUACCGCAUAACGUCGCGAGACCAAAGUGGGGGACCUUCGGGCCUCACACCAUCGGAUGUGCCCAGAUGGGAUUAGCUAGUAGGUGGGGUAAUGGCUCACCUAGGCGACGAUCCCUAGCUGGUCUGAGAGGAUGACCAGCCACACUGGAACUGAGACACGGUCCAGACUCCUACGGGAGGCAGCAGUGGGGAAUAUUGCACAAUGGGCGCAAGCCUGAUGCAGCCAUGCCGCGUGUAUGAAGAAGGCAUUCGGGUUGUAAAGUACUUUCAGCGGGGAGGAAGGCGGUGAGGUUAAUAACCUCGCCGAUUGACGUUACCCGCAGAAGAAGCACCGGCUAACUCCGUGCCAGCAGCCGCAGUAA
rnacentral:rRNA from 1 species